UACGUAGGGUGCAAGCGUUGUCCGGAAUUAUUGGGCGUAAAGAGCUCGUAGGCGGUCAGUCGCGUCUGCUGUGAAAACUCGGGGCUUAACUCCGGGCCUGCAGUGGGUACGGGCUGACUAGAGUGCGGUAGGGGAGACUGGAAUUCCUGGUGUAGCGGUGAAAUGCGCAGAUAUCAGGAGGAACACCGGUGGCGAAGGCGGCAUCCUGGACCGGCAUUGACGCUGAGGAGCGAAAGCCAGGGGAGCAAACGGG
rnacentral:rRNA from 1 species